AUGCAGACGCAGAGCUGCGUGCAAAUGGCGGAGGAGGCGGAGAAGGAGCAUAAGAAGAUGUUCGACAAGUACUCCCAGCAAGCCGACGACAUCAAGGCAUCGUACAAGAAGUUGCUGACAGAUGUGCAGUCGUCUUCGUCUCGUGUGUGCAAGGUGACCCUCCCUGAGAUGGCAAAGUCCGUGACGAGAGCUAUCGAUGGCUUGCGCAGUCGCUACAACAUCCCAGCUACGCCGGCUUAG
rnacentral:rRNA from 1 species